CAUAAGGCCCUGGAGCAGCGGAAGGA
rnacentral:piRNA from 1 species